GGAAGCGAAUGUGUCCCUGGUGGGUACCGCGGUCUUCAAAGCCGUUGUGUGGCAGUGAUGUCAUAGGUGGAUUCGAUUUCCACACGCUUCCG
rnacentral:tRNA from 2 species